GAUGAACGCUAGCUACAGGCUUAACACAUGCAAGUCGCGGGGCAUCAUGGAGGUUGCUUGCAAUUUCUGAUGGCGACCGGCGCACGGGUGAGUAACGCGUAUCCAACCUUCCCAUUACUACGGCAUACCCCGUUGAAAGGCGGCCUAAUUCCGUAUGCAGUCCGAAGCAGUCAUCUAAUUUGGACGAAAGGUAUAUUCUAUCGGUAAUGGAUGGGGAUGCGUCCGAUUAGCCAGCCGGCGGGGUAACGGCCCACCGGGGCAUUGAUCGGUAGGGGUUCUGAGAGGAAGGUCCCCCACACUGGAACUGAGACACGGUCCAGACUCCUACGGGAGGCAGCAGUGAGGAAUAUUGGUCAAUGGGCGUAAGCCUGAACCAGCCAAGUAGCGUGCAGGAUGACGGCCCUAUGGGUUGUAAACUGCUUUUAUGCGGGGAUAAAGUUGGGGACGUGUCCCUUUUUGCAGGUACCGCAUGAAUAAGGACCGGCUAAUUCCGUGCCAGCAGCCGCGGUAAUACGGAAGGUCCGGGCGUUAUCCGGAUUUAUUGGGUUUAAAGGGAGCGUAGGCAGUUUUUUAAGCGUGCUGUGAAAUGUACCGGCUCAACCGGUGAUGUGCAGCGCGAACUGGGAAUCUUGAGUACGCAGUAAGCAGGCGGAAUUCGUGGUGUAGCGGUGAAAUGCUUAGAUAUCACGAAGAACUCCGAUUGCGUAGGCAGCUUGCUGUAGCGUAACUGACGCUGAAGCUCGAAAGUGCGGGUAUCGAACAGG
rnacentral:rRNA from 1 species